rnacentral:rRNA from 1 species
AGUGAACGCUGGCGGUAGGCCUAACACAUGCAAGUCGAACGGCAGCACAGUAAGCGCUUGCUCUUACGGGUGGCGAGUGGCGGACGGGUGAGGAAUACAUCGGAAUCUACUUUUUCGUGGGGGAUAACGGAGGGAAACUUACGCUAAUACCGCAUACGACCUACGGGUGAAAGCAGGGGAUCUUCGCACCUUGCGCGAUUGAAUGAGCCGAUGUCGGAUUAGCUAGUUGGCGGGGUAAAGGCCCACCAAGGCGACGAUCCGUAGCUGGUCUGAGAGGAUGAUCAGCCACACUGGAACUGAGACACGGUCCAGACUCCUACGGGAGGCAGCAGUGGGGAAUAUUGGACAAUGGGCGAAAGCCUGAUCCAGCCAUGCCGCGUGGGUGAAGAAGGCCUUCGGGUUGUAAAGCCCUUUUGUUGGGAAAGAAAAGCAGCAGGUUAAUACCCCGCUGUUCUGACGGUACCCAAAGAAUAAGCACCGGCUAACUUCGUG